rnacentral:rRNA from 1 species
AGCAUUUGAAACUGGCAGACUAGAGUACUGUAGAGGGGGGUAGAAUUUCAGGUGUAGCGGUGAAAUGCGUAGAGAUCUGAAGGAAUACCGGUGGCGAAGGCGGCCCCCUGGACAGAUACUGACACUCAGAUGCGAAAGCGUGGGGAGCAAACAGGAUUAGAUACCCUGGUAGUCCACGCCGUAAACGAUGUCUACUUGGAGGUUGUGGCCUUGAGCCGUGGCUUUCGGAGCUAACGCGUUAAGUAGACCGCCUGGGGAGUACGGUCGCAAGAUUAAAACUCAAAUGAAUUGACGGGGGCCCGCACAAGCGGUGGAGCAUGUGGUUUAAUUCGAUGCAACGCGAAGAACCUUACCUACUCUUGACAUCCAGAGAACUUUCCAGAGAUGGAUUGGUGCCUUCGGGAACUCUGAGACAGGUGCUGCAUGGCUGUCGUCAGCUCGUGUUGUGAAAUGUUGGGUUAAGUCCCGUAACGAGCGCAACCCUUGUCCUUAGUUACCAUCAUUAAGUUGGGGACUCUAAGGAGACAGCCGGUGACAAACCGGAGGAAGGCGGGGACGACGUCAAGUCAUCAUGGCCCUUACGAGUAGGGCUACACACGUGCUACAAUGGCCGGUACAAAGGGUUGCCAAGCCGCGAGGUGGAGCUAAUCUCAUAAAGCCGGUCGUAGUCCGGAUUGGAGUCUGCAACUCGACUCCAUGAAGUCGGAAUCGCUAGUAAUCGUGAAUCAG